rnacentral:lncRNA from 1 species
CAUCAUUCCUUUACAGGGGUUGCAGCCAUACUAAACUAAAUGCUCCAUGGGAGCACGGUGAGAGCUGUGGGUGGAUUUGACAUAUAGUAGAGUAAGAAUAAGUGAAUCCAGAAAAGCCAACUGUCAUAGGCAAUGGAGAUGGGAUGUCAGGAGAUUUCUUCGAGCAACAACAAUGACAAAAAAUUGAGAAUCAAAGAAUUGGAAGUCACAGGUAGGUGAGGAGGAGGGAAGGACUCUAGGCAUUCACUCUAGCAUGUGCCACUCAGCACAGUGACACGAUACAGUGAGAGGACAAGGUGGUCAUCAAUGUCACCAGAGGGAGAAGUGGGAAUGUACGCUGAAGUCCUCAAAUGCCAUGUUGAGUAGCAUAGACUGUAACCCCUAAAGUCAGGGCUUUCCAAACUUCAGUCAUUCAGUAUCAACUUCACAAUUUUUGCCAGAUCUGAGUACUGCAGUAUCUCUUCUUUAACCAUUUACUUAAUUGGUCUUUAAAUGGACUCACCUUCUUUUAAACUAAAUAAACUUACUCUAUAAGAAAAUUCUACUACCAUUGUAAAUAAUAACCCAUACCAUUUGUCAUAAAUAUAAGAAAAUGAAACCCAUAAAGUAAAACCAAACUAUAUUAUUACGCUCUUUCUAGAUACUUUUGCCUAAAGACAACUCUGAGCCCAAGCCAACUAUCUCUUGGCUAAAAAGGGAAAUGAGCAGGUUUUUGAAGAGUAUGACAGCCAUAAAGCACUCCUACAGUGAAAUUUUCCCGUAGAAGAAUGGAGAGGGAUCUGAGAAGUUGCUGCUGUGGAUUUAACAUGAGGCUUCUACAUCCCUUCUGCUGUUUCGAGUUGGUCAGACCUCUGGGUUGCCCAGUCAGACCUGGGGAAGAGUUCACACUGCAGACCCGUCAGCCUGCCUAG